rnacentral:rRNA from 1 species
UACAGAGGCCUCGAGCGUUAGGCGGAAUCACUGGGCUUAAAGCGUGUGUAGGCGGAUGUCUAAGUGCUUUGUGAAAUCCCACGGCUCAACCGUGGAAUUGCUUGGCAUACUGGAUGUCUUGAGCCAUCUAGGGGCGAGCGGAACAAGUGGUGGAGCGGUGAAAUGCGUAGAUAUCACUUGGAACGCCAACGGUGAAAACAGCUCGCUGGGGAUGUGCUGACGCUGAGACACGAAAGCCAGGGGAGCGAACGGG